rnacentral:pre_miRNA from 1 species
ACAACAUUCGGACCAUCGGUCUAGAGAGCAACCUCACCAGCUCGAGAGGAAGAUCUUCCCUAUGACGU